CACACUUCCUCAAACUAAUACUCAAUCAACCACAGCAUUCUUAUACCUUGGGACACUAUCAUAGUUCAACAAAACCUCUCGAGUGUUAGGAGAUAUAAACCAAUUAUGUACAAACUCUAAACCCCUUUGGGUGAAAAUGUCAAAUUUGCAGCUAAGGUAUCGAUACCUUUGGCAAAGGCAUCGAUGCUUCUUCGAUAGAAUGUUUUCUCUCUUUAAGGUGUUGUUACCUAGGGUAAGGAUAUUGAUGCUUUCAAUCCAUAAUGCUUUGCUUAAGCAUUUUGUAGAACAAGA
rnacentral:lncRNA from 1 species